rnacentral:rRNA from 1 species
AUUGAACGCUGGCGGCAGGCCUAACACAUGCAAGUCGAACGCGUGGCGGACGGGUGAGUAAUGUCUUGGAAACUCCCCGAUGGAGGGGGAUAACUCCUGGAAACGGUAGCUAAUACCGCAUACCAUCUGAUGUGCCCCGAUGGGAUUAGCUAGUAGGUGGGGUAACGGCUCACCGAGGCGACGAUCCCUAGCUGGUCUGCGAGGAUGACCAGCCACAAUGGAACUGAGAAAAGGCCCAGACUCCUAAGGGAGGCAGCAAUGGGGAAUCAUCCGCAAUGGGAGAAAGUCAGAAGGAGGAACGCCGGGUGAUGGGUGACGGCCUUCUGGUUGUUAAGCUCGUUAAUCGGGAAGACGGUACCGGAAGAGAAAGCAACGGCUAACUACGUGCCAGCAGCCGCGGUAAUAC